rnacentral:rRNA from 1 species
GGGUCAGUAGGUUGGUCGUGCCACCGGUACGUACUGGUCUCACUGAUUCCUCCUUCCUGAAGAACCGUAAUGCCAUUAAUUUGGUGCUGCGGGGAAACAGGACUGUUACUUUGAAAAAAUUAGAGUGUUUAAAGCAAGCUAACGCCUGAAUACAUUAGCAUGGAAUAAUGAAAUAGGACGAUCGAUCCUAUUUUGUUGGUUUCUAGGAUUGACGUA